CCUACGGGGUGCAGCAGUAGGGAAUAUUGCGCAAUGGGCGAAAGCCUGACGCAGCGACGCCGCGUGAGGGAUGAAGGUCUUCGGAUCGUAAACCUCUGUCAGCAGUGAAGAACGGUCACUGUGCUAAUCAGCCGUGAAUUGACGGUACCUGCAUAGGAAGUACCGGCUAACUCCGUGCCAGCAGCCGCGGUAAUACGGAGGGUGCGAGCGUUAAUCGGAAUUACUGGGCGUAAAGCGCUCGUAGGCGGUAUGUCAAGUCAAGGGUGAAAUCCCUGGGCUCAACGGGGGAACUGCCUUUGAAACUGGCAAACUGGAGUGUGUGAGAGGAUAGUGGAAUUCCAGGUGUAGGAGUGAAAUCCGUAGAUAUCUGGAGGAACAUCAGUGGCGAAGGCGACUAUCUGGCACAUAACUGACGCUGAGGAGCGAAAGCGUGGGUAGCAAACAGGAUUAGAUACCCGUGUAGUC
rnacentral:rRNA from 1 species